rnacentral:piRNA from 1 species
UAAAAGAUGGAGGAACCUCUGCACU